AUCGAACGCUGGCGGAAUGCUUUACACAUGCAAGUCGAACGGCAGCACGGACUUCGGUCUGGUGGCGAGUGGCGAACGGGUGAGUAAUACAUCGGAACGUGCCCAGUCGUGGGGGAUAACGUAGCGAAAGCUACGCUAAUACCGCAUACGAUCUAAGGAUGAAAGCGGGGGAUCGCAAGACCUCGCGCGAUUGGAGCGGCCGAUGGCAGAUUAGGUAGUUGGUAGGGUAAAGGGCUACCAAGCCGACGAUCUGUAGCUGGUCUGAGAGGACGACCAGCCAAACUGGGACUUAGACACGGCCCAGACUCCUACGGGAGGCAGCAGUGGGGAAUUUUGGACAAUGGACGCAAGUCUGAUCCAGCCAUUCCGCGUGCAGGAUGAAGGCCCUCGGGUUGUAAACUGCUUUUGUACAGAACGAAAAGGCUCUGGUUAAUACCUGGAGCUCAUGACGGUACUGUAAGAAUAAGCACCGGCUAACUACGUGCCAGCCGCCGCCGUAA
rnacentral:rRNA from 1 species